CUUUUCGAUAGCUCAGUUGGUAGAGAGGAGGACUGUAGAUCCUUAGGUCGCUGGUUCAAAUCCGGCUCGAAGGA